rnacentral:ribozyme from 1 species
CGUGUCUCUAUGUCGUAGUUCACUUGAAGAUAUGUCCAGUACUGUCGUGGACUUUUUACUCGACAUCAGGCGCCUCAAUGUUGCGCUGUCGCGUGCUCAAGUAUGUGUGAUUGUUGUGAUGUCUCCCGAUAUCGCCAUGGCGAG